rnacentral:rRNA from 1 species
GUGAACCGUUGGAGUAACGGUGGAGCGGAAGUCGAAGGAUGGAAGGGAUUCAACUGGUCGUGUUGACCUCGACUAGCUGSGACGUUUKUUUKUUKGAGRKUCUUACCGGUGCGUUGGUGAGAUGUGACGCUUCGUUUAGCUUGGGUCUGAGAGUUUCGGCGUGCCUUGGCAUUUCCCUACUUCCCCUCUCCUAGUAGGACACCGCGACCGGCUGUCGAGGGGAGCCCAGGAGCUGGUGGGAGCAGGUGCGCGGACGAGUAAGSGAUACKUUCUCUGCGUCUGGUCUGUCUGUCUCUCGCCGUUGYGKGGUUYUGCUUCCUCCGSCCGAGGAUWGGUGCKAGUUGAGUYGCCUUCGGGUUAGAUUCYUCGUCCAUGUGCGCACCUCUGAUAUCUGUCGGUGACGGGUCGAUAAAACCCAACGKGUGGCAGCGGUCGCCUGCGCGCCGGUCUUUAUUGAUCGAUUGCGUGCGGGUGUUCUGUAGUCAGCCGCCGUCGGUUCAGGGUGUGGACUCCCGCUAAGGGGUGCUGGGGGUCGGCGGUGAGUAGGUCGGUUUCCCACCCGACCCGUCUUGAAACACGGACCAAGAAGUCUAACGUGUGGGCGAGUCUUCGGGGCUACCGAACCCUGCUAGAAGGCGAAAUGAAAGUGAAGGCUGACUUUUAGUUAGCUUUGGUGGGAUGCCGGUCGUUUUUAAUACGUCGGCGCACCACCGGCCCGUCCAAUGACCGCUUCGCCGGUCGGGCGGAGCYUGAGCCCACACGUUGGGACCCGAAAGAUGGUGAACUAUGCCUGGGCAGGACGAUGCCAGAGGAAACUCUGGUGGAAGUCCGCAGCGGUUCUGACGUGCAAAUCGAUCGUCGGACCUGGU